CCUUUUGGAGGAAAUGUGCUUUUAAUGGAGUGGACAGUUCCCUUAGGUGUUUUUAAGGGAAACUUUAAGGUCAAAUUAUUGCUUGGUUUUGGGAGCCUGGGAUUUCGCAAGGGAUUGUUUUAAACCGAAACACAUCCUAUCCUGAUCGUAUAAUUAAAAUAGUGCCUUUUUAUUUUACUUUUCCAGGAUCCUUCAGCAUUGUGAAAAUGGGAUGAAAGCUCUCUACCUCUUGCGGGUUCCCGAGGGACUUAGCAUGCCAAUAAGCUUCCCUCUUUUGUUCCUCUUCCUUUUUCUCCUUUCUUCAAAAGUUCUCUUCAGAUCAAAUGAGAGAGGGAAAGGAUGGGCUCGUGGUAGUUGAAUAAAAAACAAGUCUUUGCAGUGAUAUGUGGGACCAGGUCGGACAAAUACACUUUCUCUCCUGAAACAUUAUUUGUUUUACCCUGAAGGAUAUUUGUUUCUAAUGUAUGCAGGUGGCACAUUUAAAGUGUUCUUUUUCCCUCAAGUGCGGUUAUCACAAACACAAAUGGCUUUUGUUUAAUUGUAAAGCGGAAUGAUAUCCAGGUGGUCGCCCACGGUUACAGACCUGGGAGCGGAUUUAGAGAUCUCCGCGAUCCUGGAAACCUUCGCAGGAAAAAGCAGUUUUCCUAAAAGUGGUAAGUAGAGGGAAAAGAAUGGUAAUAUGAAUUUUGUUUCCCAAGCUCUUGGGUGAAAGUUUCUCAGAAGCGAAACGUUCUUUGUGCUUUGCAGAAAGUACUUCAUUGUUUGUACUGAUGAUCAGCGGGUGAAUCUGAUGUCAGGGUGGGUAAAUAAGAAUUAGGAGGUGGAUAUAAAACAUUACCAGGAGUCUUUUUAUUUAUCCUGGUAUGUCUCUCUCUCACUCUUUUGCAUGCACACUGCUGUUAUGAUAAUCCUUUGGAAUGUUACUCCUUUUCCAAGUAAGCAUCCUCCUUUCCGUGUUGUUGUGGAAGUCCUCCCUCCUCAAGUUUGCAUGAUACUCGCUGUGUGGGUAGUAGUGGUCUCGCAAAUAAAUAACCCCACUUUUUUACGUAGUGGUGUAGUGGGCAUCAUCCGUGAUAAAUGAAAACAAACUUCAAGUAUGCAAGAGGUUUGUACCAUGAAAAAAGAACGUUACUGAAGACUUGCUGGAAUCCUUGUCUAGUCCCUACAAGCGUUGAUGUCCAUUAGUUCGAAGAAGCUGGUGAAAUUGAAGAGAAAAGUGAUGCCCCUUUCCAGUGAGCAGGUGACUAUCCUCAUUUGCUUGCUUACCUUCCCACUUGGGAGCACCUGUUCCCGUGGCGUGAGCCCUUUCUGUGAGUGAUCGCUGAGAAAAAUCUGAAUUCCUCCACUUUCCCACCCUGUAGCACACUCUAUUUUGUUGGGACAUACUGACUGCGAAAGCGUUACCCCCGCUACAGAGAUGUAUUGGUUUCUGACCUUCACGUAUCUUAGAAACGUGUUUCCGAGCCGUGACUUACCACGGAGAACACAACGUUCCAGGCUGUAUUCCGAAGACGUCCUUGGAAUUCACCUCAAAAGACCACUUUUGUCAUUUUCGGCUGAAGAUGCGUGUGAUCCCUUUCUGGAAUUUGAGGCAGGGUUCGAUUUGUUCUGGAGGUCUUCAUGUGGAGGGAAAAGUCUGCUCCUUAAAGGAUACCGAGUUCCCUUGUGCCUUGUGGUUUGAAUGUUCUGGCACAGAGGAGGCGAUGGAUGGCAUUUUAGAAAGACAGGGUUGGUGAGGCUAGUAAACUGGCCCUUUAAUUGCUUGUGAGUUCAGCGGUGGAAGAGGAAACAUCUCCACAAGCGCCGCAGCACAAAAGAAUGGAAAGUUGAGGUUGCACUUGAGCAUCCGUUGGACAAACUGCCUUUUUUUAAGGCACGGGGGCCUGGCUUUUGAACUUCUACACCGGCAGCAUAACACUGGAGUCUCCUCUGGCGGCACAGGACAAAUGUUGCCUAAAUGUUACCCGGAGAGCGGAAGUUUGUUCUUGGCAGCAAGAAAAUCAGGCCCAGUUUUCGAAACGACGGCAAACACUUUCUGACGUGCAGUCAUGUUUUAUUCACUUCGCAACUCACGUGAGGGGUCACAGGCUUCCAUGGGCCCAUGGACGGGGGUUCGGGGCCCAAAGGAAAUUGGAUAACUUCCCGUCAUCAAUAUUUUUCUUGGGAACUUGUUUGUCUCUGCUCUGUGGCAGGUGGUUAUUCAGCGAGCCCUCCAGGAAAGUAGCUGACUCAGAGGGGAAAAUUACCCAUUUCAUCUCUAGAAUCGGUUCUGUUCAGUCAACGGUGAUAACCGAGUGCUUAUUGUGUGCAGAGCACUCUACUAAGCACUUGGGAGAGCACAACACAACAGAGUUGGCACACGUUAACCACAGCAUACAUCCAACCCGGAAGCUAUAAUCAGACAAUCGAAUUGUUUGAACAGCUGCACCAGGCAAAACACUGUACUAAGCACUUGGGAGGGUACAAAAGAGUUUGUAGUUUCAGUCCCUGCCCUCGGGGAGCAUAUGGUCCGUGUUGCUAGCCGUCUGUACAAAGCUAAUUGACCUCAUGGGACAUUUUUGACACUGGUUAUUUGAAGAGCUGUCACUUCAGAAAAACCAGUCCUGGAAACGGAUUAACGGGGGCCACCCCAGUGCAGUGGCAGGGAAGUUCCCCCAAACUCAGCCUCAGCAAAGGCCUUGGCACCAUUCCCACCUGCCCGGCCGGAGCAAGUCUAACCAAGCAAACAGAUCUGGAAAAGCCAGAUCAUGGCUAAAAUAACUAGUGCUAAUGAAAAGGGAGCCACUUUUCCAGCCAAGUGCAUAAUGUUGAAAGCCAGUGGGGCCUGUACUUUUUUUAAAAUGGUAUUU